rnacentral:lncRNA from 1 species
GUUAACCUCGUCUAAGAGAGCGAACGAUCAAAAGGGAAGUGCCAACGUUCAUUUGAAAAGCAAUGGGUGCUUGUCCCUCAUUAAAGAGUUGACAAAGUACAAGUGUACAACCACUACCUCAACGACCCUGAGUGUGUCCUCGCUACAAGACAAGUUAACAGCUCUGCCUGCAGAAUUGUUCCUUCAAGAUAGGAAUGAAUUUGAAGUUGAUCCUUCAUAGGACUACACCCAAAUCAGGCAAAAGAUUACUGGUGG